GGAUUCUUAAUCAAGAUCCAUCCGGGGUACAUUGAAAAGAAUAAGAUUUUCAAACAAGAUUUAUAGGUCAGAUGGAGGGCAAAGAUCAACCAGUAGAUGGGAUCAAUUUUUUUUCUUCUCCCUCUCUUUUUCUUUUUCUUUCUUCUCUCUAGCAAAAGGGGGGUGGGGAUGAGCCCACCCUUUAGUAGAAUAGGAGAAGAGGGGAAGAGCAUAGUUGUCCGACUAUGGUCAUAUCCGGCGAGUGUACCGAUCACAAGGUAGGGUGAUGUAAAGACAACUACCGCGGAGGGCAACGAGGCUGGAAAAGAGGACAGGAGAAAAAGAAAGUGAUUUCAAGGUUAUUUUUCAGUGAUCCAUUAUUGAACUUCAACCAUAAAAAGGAAAGAUCAAGUGAAAGAAAGCACAAGAGAAG
rnacentral:lncRNA from 1 species